rnacentral:rRNA from 1 species
AACGCGAAGAACCUUACCAACCCUUGACAUCCUCGGACCGGCCCAGAGAUGGGUCUUUCACUUCGGUGACCGAGUGACAGGUGCUGCAUGGCUGUCGUCAGCUCGUGUCGUGAGAUGUUCGGUUAAGUCCGGCAACGAGCGCAACCCACAUCCUUAGUUGCCAGCAGUUCGGCUGGGCACUCUAAGGAAACUGCCCGUGAUAAGCGGGAGGAAGGUGUGGAUGACGUCAAGUCCUCAUGGCCCUUACGGGUUGGGCUACACACGUGCUACAAUGCCAGUGACAAUGGGUUAAUCCCAAAAAACUGUCUCAGUUCGGAUUGGGGUCUGCAACUCGACCCCAUGAAGUCGGAAUCGCUAGUAAUCGCGUAACAGCAUGACGCGGUGAAUACGUUCCCGGGUCUGUACACACCG